UGGCUAGACGACACUGACCCCAGUAUUAAGAGGUGGACUGCUAGUAGACACUGGCCCCAGUAUUAAGAGGUGGACUGCUAAGGAAGUGGCUAGUAGACACUGACCCCAGUAUUAAGAGGUGGACUGCUAAGAAGUGGCUAGUUGACACUGGCCCCAGUAUUAAGAGGUGGACUGCUAGUUUAGACACUGGCCCCAGUAUUAAGAGGUGGACUGCUAAGGAAGUGGCUAGUUGACACUGGCC
rnacentral:lncRNA from 1 species